GACGAACGCUGGCGGCGUGCUUAACACAUGCAAGUCGAACGGAAAGGCCCUGCCUUUGUGGGGUGCUCGAGUGGCGAAAGGGUGAGUAACACGUGAGUAACCUGCCCUUGACUUUGGGAUAACUUCAGGAAACUGGGGCUAAUACCGGAUAGGAGCUCCUGCUGCAUGGUGGGGGUUGGAAAGUUUCGGCGGUUGGGGAUGGACUCGCGGCUUAUCAGCUUGUUGGUGGGGUAGUGGCUUACCAAGGCUUUGACGGGUAGCCGGCCUGAGAGGGUGACCGGCCACAUUGGGACUGAGAUACGGCCCAGACUCCUACGGGAGGCAGCAGUGGGGAAUAUUGCACAAUGGGCGGAAGCCUGAUGCAGCAACGCCGCGUGCGGGAUAACGGCCUUCGGGUUGUAAACCGCUUUCGCCUGUGACGAAGCGUGAGUGACGGUAAUGGGUAAAGAAGCACCGGCUAACUACGUG
rnacentral:rRNA from 1 species